CGCUGGCGGCGUGCUUAAUACAUGCAAGUCGAGCGGACCGACGGGAGCUUGCUCCCUUAGGUCAGCGGCGGACGGGUGAGUAACACGUGGGUAACCUGCCUGUAAGAYUGGGAUAACUCCGGGAAACCGGGGYUAAUACCGGAUGCUUGAUUGAACCGCAUGGUUCAAUCAUAAAAGGUGGCUUUUAGCUACCACUURCAGAUGGACCCGCGGCGCAUUAGCUAGUUGGUGAGGUAACGGCUCACCAAGGCGACGAUGCGUAGCCGACCUGAGAGGGUGAUCGGCCACACUGGGACUGAGACACGGCCCAGACUCCUACGGGAGGCAGCAGUAGGGAAUCUUCCGCAAUGGACGAAAGUCUGACGGAGCAACGCCGCGUGAGUGAUGAAGGUUUUCGGAUCGUAAAACUCUGUUGUUAGGGAAGAACAAGUACCGUUCGAAUAGGGCGG
rnacentral:rRNA from 1 species